rnacentral:rRNA from 1 species
GACGUAGGGCGCGAGCGUUUGUCCGGAUUUAUUGGGCGUAAAGAGCUCGUAGGCGGCUUGUCGCGUCGUCCGUGAAAACCUGCAGCUCAACUGCAGGCUUGCGGUCGAUACGGGCAGGCUAGAGUUCGGUAGGGGAGACUGGAAUUCCUGGUGUAGCGGUGAAAUGCGCAGAUAUCAGGAGGAACACCGGUGGCGAAGGCGGGUCUCUGGGCCGAUAUUGACGCUGGAGGAGCGAAAGCGUGGGGAGCGAACAGG